rnacentral:rRNA from 1 species
AUUGAACGCUGGCGGCAGGCCUAACACAUGCAAGUCGAACGAGUGGCGGACGGGUGAGUAAUGUCUGGGAAACUGCCCGAUGGAGGGGGAUAACUACUGGAAACGGUAGCUAAUACCGCAUACCAUCGGAUGUGCCCAGAUGGGAUUAGCUAGUAGGUGGGGUAACGGCUCACCUAGGCGACGAGCCCUCGCUGGGCUGAGAGGAUGACCAGCCACACUGGAAAUGAGACACGGUCCAGACUCUGAAGGGAGGCAGCAGUGGGGAAUAGUGCACAAUGGGCGCAAGCCUGAUGCAGCCAUGCCGCGUGUAUGAAGAAGGCCUUCGGGUUGUAAAGUACUUUCAGCGGGGAGGCGUUACCCGCAGAAGAAGCACCGGCUAACUCCGUGCCAGCCGCCGCGGUAAUAC